UCGUGAAAGUCGCGAGACCUUGUUUGUAGUUUUUACCGGGUGUCGGUGGUUAUAAGUUUGCUGGAAGAUCGCUUAUGCUAGUAUCUCUGCUAUACAUAUCGUAUAAAUAUUGAAACAGUAUAAUUAAUAGGAUUGCGAGAAUCGUCUGAUGUCAGUUACCGAUACCUGCUGAACUCAAGUUUGUUAUAAAUACUGAUUGUGAGACAGGGGAAUCGAAUCGUAACCCUGGGACACGGUGACCGAUUGCAGUGAUCGAGUGCUCAAUGGACUCAGACAGUUCUGCACGGGGAAAAACGAAAGACGGUGGAACGUGCGAGGAGAUACUGCCUUCCAAAAGAAAUUAGUAAGACAAAAGGAACAAUUCUACUUUCAAACGAUCUCUACUAGAGAAAACAACGACCUGGACUCAGCGUAAUAGCAUUCUUCCCUGGCGACUCGGUGCUGGAAAAUCGAGACUUGGCCAGUGAGGCGAGAUGAGACUCGAUUGUCUGGUCCAAGGUGCGCGGAUUGGACGACUUUCUCCGAUAGUUCGAACAGUACCGGUACCAGGAAAUCGCCUCAGGAGUGGAAAGGAAACCACCGAGCGGAUACCAUUGGAGGAGCAGGAGGUGACGAGACCGAAAUCGGCGACGGUGGAACCAUGAAGCUGGCGCGUGACUCUUGAACCGUGCGUGAAAGCUACGAGAUAAGGCGGAAAGCGGCACGGUGUCGGCCGGUUGGAAAGCUGCAAUUUCGUCGCAGCGCCUCAAGAAAAAGAGACGAGAGAGGAAAACGAACAAGAUACGAGUCUGAGCCGCGCUUAUGGCACGUCUGCGGCGAGCCAAGAUUGCGUUUUCCGGCUGUGAAAAUUUCCAGAAACCCACAACAAAACCCCGACACCCUGUGAAAGAGGAUCAGCUUGGAAGGUUUAGCUAAUAUUAAAUUAUAAUUUACCACUGCAAUCAGAUAUAUUAACUAUUAUUUCGUAACGUCGAUUUUAUCCUAUUUGCAUAUUACACGGUAUUAAUUACUGUUGCAAAUAUGGUAGUUGUCGUACCGUGGAAUCGUACUAACCGAUAUGUAUUAUUUUG